UAGCCGGCCUGAGAGGGUGACCGGCCACACUGGGACUGAGACACGGCCCAGACUCCUAAGGGAGGCAGCAGUGGGGAAUAUUGCACAAUGGGCGAAAGCCUGAUGCAGCGACGCCGCGUGAGGGAUGAAGGCCUUCGGGUUGUAAACCUCUUUCAGCAGGGACGAAGCGCAAGUGACGGUACCUGCAGAAGAAGCACCGGCUAACUACGUGCCAGCAGCCGCGGUAAUACGUAGGGUGCGAGCGUUGUCCGGAAUUACUGGGCGUAAAGAGUUCGUAGGCGGUUUGUCGCGUCGUUUGUGAAAACCCGGGGCUCAACUUCGGGCUUGCAGGCGAUACGGGCAGACUUGAGUGUUUCAGGGGAGACUGGAAUUCCU
rnacentral:rRNA from 1 species